UACGUAGGGGGCUAGCGUUGUCCGGAAUCAUUGGGCGUAAAGAGCGUGUAGGCGGCUCGGUAAGUCCGCUGUAAAAGUCAAAGGCUCAACCUUUGAAUGUCAGUGGAUACUGCCGGGCUAGAGUCCGGAAGAGGCGAGUGGAACUCCUGGUGUAGCGGUGGAAUGCGCAGAUAUCAGGAGGAACACCGGUGGCGAAGGCGGUGCUCUGGGCCAGUACUGACGCUGAGGAGCGAAAGCGUGGGGAGCAAACAGG
rnacentral:rRNA from 1 species